rnacentral:lncRNA from 1 species
AUACCUGAAUUACUUUUAAAACAGAAUGCAUUAUAGAAAACUAUUUAGGACAAAUAAAUAUUAAUAUAAUCUAAUAUUAACAUAAUGAUGUUACGAGCAAAGCACAUACAAAAAUGAUAACUCACACACACACACACACACACACACACAAGUACACAUGCACACAAAAUAAGUUAUUCUGUGGUGUGUAAGAUGGUAUGGAGAAAAGAUCGUUUAUUUUGACCGAUUAGCAAUUUAAAGUAGAGAAUGAGGCUUCUCUGGGUGAACCAAUUUACCUCUAGGUAGUUAGUUAUUGAAGUCAAUAUUUUUAGUAAGUGUUUAACCAUUUAUGUAUUUUUAUGAAAAUAGUUUUAUUGAUAAUUUCCCAAACAAAGUGAAUUUAAAUUUUACCCUUUAAAGUUGUAAGCACUUACUGUUACCAAAUAUAACUACAAAAUGCAUCUUAUAAGCUAUAAUAUGCCUAUGUUUACUCAAAAUAAUUUGAAAUUCUAUGUAAUAAUUAUUAUUUACAUAUAUGCAUAUUGCAAUUGACACAUGUGUCUGGGUUUUAACAGUAUUUGUUAAUAAAAUAUACCUUUCCUUUAAUCAAUGUUUAUGCCUUUUCUUUUUGAUUAAUUAUAAAUUCAGCAAAAGGAAUAGUUUGUAGGUAUUUGAGUCACUAUUAAAGAUAUUCAUAGACCUGAUAGAAAUGUUGCUUUCUUGGAGCAGUCAUUAUUGUGGUUGAGAAGUUGGUUUUCAAGAAUGGACUCAGACAAUAAAUCAACUUACAUCUCUAGUGUGAUGUGUAAAUAAUAAAGUCUCUUCUGACUAGUAACUUGAUUGCAGUAUUGGCAACAGAGUUUCAGAGCAAGUAUAGUUAGUUCACAGAUAUUGUAUGUUCUCUAAUAUAUUCCUUCUUAGAGAGGAAAAGGACUAUUUAUAGAUAUAUCAUUGGGAUUUUAAAAUAUUCUGGAAGAAAUUUUAAUUCAACUUGACAGAGAUUUACCUAGUAUGUAAUAUUACUGAAAAUCAAUUUAUAUACAAACAUGACAUGCUAAUAUAGACAUGCUUUGGAAUUCUUGUUCUUCCAUAACUACAAAACUUUCCUUUAGCGGUGAACUUUCAAAUCUUUGUUGAAAUAAGAAAAAUGAGUUGCUUUCAAUAGCUUUUAUGAAUAUUUAAAAGAGAUGAAGUAUGAAAAAUCUCUUAAAUAUGAAAUGCUGUGAGUGAGAAGCCUAGCAUAUGAAUCAAGGAACAGAGAACUCCUUCAAUAUUCAUGAAAAGCUGAGUGUCAUUGUCUUCUCAGACUGUAUCAACUUGUGUCCUUCAAGAUGGACACAUGAUUGAAAACAAAUAAGAUAGAUGCCUACAGAGCAUUUUCCAUUAUAAAGUGAAAACAAAUAUCAACAAAUAUAAUAAACACAAUUAUAUCCAAGCAAUUACUAACUGCAAUGAGCUCUAUUUGUAAAACUGUGUUAAAAUGUAGACCUCACUAUCAAAACUAUUGAUAUUGGCCAAAGUAAUGCAGGUUUUAAUUGUAAUUUUCUAAAUGAGAAUAAAACAUCACCCAUGAAAAGAUUUUAAAAAAAUGUUGAAUGUUUCUGUUUUUAUGAGGCAUCUAAGUAUCUGUUGCAAAUGCAAUUACAAUACAGUUGUAGGUCUUGUAAAUACUGAAUGUCAGUUACUAAAAUAAAAAGUUUGCAAAGCUCAUGUAUGUGGAUAGUGAGGUAGUUCUCCUCUGAUAAAAGUGCACCCUGACCUUAUCUUUUCAUUCAUUGUUUUCAAAUAGACUUUAUGUAUCUACUCAUGUUAGUCAUAGCCUAAUCCCUGAGAAUGCCAUGAUUAACACAAAGUUCUUUGAGUCAUGAACCUUAUCUAUCCAGAGUCUAUUAUAAAUUAAGACUGGACUGUGUUUGACAGUUUUUGUUUUAGGUAAUGGUUGAAAACUGUUGAUUCAGCUGUCUGCUUUUCACAUAGACCAUCAGGAAAUAAGUGUUUAAAAAACACAUUUUUUUAUAUACUAGCAGAAAAAGUGAAUUAAUUUGUUUAGGUUAUAGAGUCCAGAUAUUUAAUGAAAAACUGUCUAAAUCUUGCUCGAAAAGCACAAUGUAGAUAAAACAUACAUGUAUACAACUGCCUCUCAGUAGAGUGCUCAUCUGUACAGUUGAAGGCCUGAGAAAGGAAUCUGAUUUCUUCUGUAGGACUAGCCAGCCACUGGAUUUGAAGAAUAACACCAACAUUUCUGUGGUUUGAAGGUUUUACAGCUCACUGUCCAGAGCAUGGGUUGAGCAGCCCAGGAAGUCGUGUCUAUUAAUUUCAUGAUAUAACCAUUGAGAGCACAGAACACAUGUCCCCAUCUAAGCAUUGCUGUUCCUCAGGAAAGCCUGACUAAGACAAAGAAAAAUACUAAAUUGAGAUGCCUAAAUAUAUCUGUGGGACUAUAUGAACCAACUGAUGCAAGCUGUGGACUAUAUAAGGUUUCAGAAAUGCUAAUUUUAGACUGAUCACUACCUAGAGGAAUGAGUGCUUAGGCAAGUGCUAAUGAAUAACGUUUCGGUCAUGACAAGCAAGCUAUUGGUUCUAUAUCUUUAAGAAGUUUCCUGGACAUU